rnacentral:rRNA from 1 species
GAUUAUGGCUCAGAUUGAACGCUGGCGGCGUGCUUAACACAUGCAAGUCGCGCGUGAAAGGACUUCGGUCCGAGUAAAGCGGCGCACGGGUGAGUAACGCGUGGAUGAUCUACCCAUGAGUUAGGAAUAACGGCUGGAAACGGUCGCUAAUACCAAAUACGCUCCGAUUUCAACUUCGGGGGAAAGGUGGCCUCUGCUUGCAAGCUACUGCUCAUGGAUGAGUCCGCGUCCCAUUAGCUAGUUGGUGGGGUAACGGCCCACCAAGGCGACGAUGGGUAGCCGGUCUGAGAGGAUGACCGGCCACACUGGGACUGGAACACGGCCCAGACUCCUACGGGAGGCAGCAGUGGGGAAUAUUGCGCAAUGGGCGAAAGCCUGACGCAGCGACGCCGCGUGGAAGGGAUGAAGGUCCUCGGAUCGUAAACCUCUGUCAGGAGGGAAGAACCGCCACGGUGCUAAUCAGCCGUGGUCUGACGGUACCUCCAAAGGAAGCACCGGCUAACUCCGUGCCAGCAGCCGC